rnacentral:lncRNA from 1 species
AGUAAGAGUAAUCAUUUUUGUUGUAUGCUUUUGUGAGCUGGAUGUAAAUUAAUUACAGAAGUACAGUGUCAGCGUGAAUUAAUUAUGCAAGUAAGCCGUUUGGCUAUUUCAUUAUUUUAUUUAAAUGGCAAUAGCUUGAGAAGAUCUUUUGUCUUAAUAGAUUAGCCAGAAUUCAUUCGAAAAAGUCUUAGUAUGUUUAAGGUAAUGGAAAAAAAAAAAUUGCUUUCAGUACAUCCUAGCAGAGAUCCUGUUUAAAACGGAUGACAGCCUGUCACGUUCAGUAGCAUAUCAGUCAUCAGAUUUAUUCUAAUUCCUUAAGCUGAACAUUUCAUUCAAGCUUGUAGAUUGUCUUGUCAAGCUACCAAAAGCUUCAUAGCAUUUCUGUCAAGCAUAUAGUUGCACCAGCAGUUCACAAAUAAAUGCUAAGCUACAAAAAUGUUGUUUAUUUUCUUUAACAUUUUAUUCAGAUAACUAAACUGUUCUCUCAUGUUAUUUUCUCUCCAUCUGUUUAUCAGAAGGCAUUGAAGGAGCUACUUUCUAAACGUGCCUCAUCCUGACCAUACCCAGUUCAGGCCAAGGGCCAUUGUUUGUGGAUGUGUUGUUUUUACUCAUAGCAGUCUAGACCACCGUGCUUAUGACAUUCCUCCUGUAAUCACAGAGGUCCAGUGAGCAGCUUCAUUUCCUGCAUAUGUGAAGAAAUGCCACUGCUGCUGUGCACGAGUGAUGCCAAGCAGUACAACUUGUCAUGCCCAGAACAUCUGAGAAGCAAGCCUCAAAAUUUUCAGUGAGAUUUUGUGCAUGAGAAAGCAGUCAUCAAAAUAAGCCUGGGUUUCAGAAGUGCUAAGUAAGGAUUUUGUCUCCUUUGUCUUGUAAGUGGUUUUAGAGCACUUUUGCUCCACCCAGGAAUAACUGCUGUGGGGCCAACAUCCAGCUACUGUCUCAACUUUCUGGAACUGAACCUAAUUUCUUCUUUUCGCCUCUGAUGUCAAGUGUUUUAGCAAUUAAAAAGUGAACGUAGCUUAAUGAAUCAUGGAAUAAUGAAU